GGAAAACACAGAAAGAUUAGGCUGCAUCGUCAUGAAAACAGAGAAAUAAAUAUCCCACAUGAGGCAAUGUGUGUGCCACAAGUGAAAUGAACAAAAACUCUUUCAAACUUAUUGAUCUUGAAUCCUGUAACAGAAGAACAUACGAGUCCCCUGAUAUUAGAUGAAAUAAAUAUCCAUUUAGGAGCUGAAAAUGGCAUCAAGGUGGUAACAACAUGCACAUCACCAGGAUGCUGACAGUAAAUUAGCUAAAAGGAAUUCAGCAUUCAUUCAUUUGACUAUGUAACAUUUCAUUUUCCUGCAGUGACAGUAUGUCUUCUGUGAAACUAUUACUUUACAACAUCAAAACAACGUAUCAAAACAUUUUAAUAAAAUGUUCAAAACCCAUCUUACGAACCUUCUUCAAUAUGUAUUUCCAUUUGGUCAUGAUUUAAUUAAAAAUUCACUCAGAAACAUCCAUUAUGAACCGACAUAAAAACACUUGUCUUGAGAAUUGGUAGGAAGCAGAAAAGAGAAAGUAAGAGCGAUUGAAUGAUUCACUUAUUUUAAAUAGAAAUUGCAAUUUGAAACAACAAAAUUCCAAAAGCUGCAAUUAAAUGAUGCAACAUGUCUGACCCACAGUUUACACUGUUGUUCACACCAUCCUCCUUAUGUGACAAUCACACUUUUGAUGGUAAUUUGUGUGUUAAUGCUCAAUCACAUUUUAAAUAUUGAACUAACUCUUCCUCUCUGACAUAAAGAAAAAAAAUAAAGACCUCAAAUAUUAAAUUUAUCAACUUGCUCACAAUAAAUUUCUGAGCUGUUCAGCUGGUGACUAAUUCACAACCAUUGCUUUAAUCUACUCUCUCAUCGGGUGUGGCUUUAAAAUAUGAAAUAAUGUACAACUAGUGACGAAAACGCUACUUAAAAUGCAGGUUCAUUGAAAUAACGAGAUGCUACAGACGUGUGAAAGGCAAGAAUGGACUGUUGACAUGUAGGAUGUCGACACAUCAAUUAGGAAUGUAGUGGGACACUGGGAUGUCUACAACUCCAUCAUUUGUCUUCUAAGAAAUUGUUACAGACAGCUGUGGAUGACAAUGUUACACUGUCCCCCCAAAAUACCUACAACUUUUAGAUUCAGAAAACUUUAUUUGUCCCCAGGGGGCAAUUUAAAAAGGCACACAGAGCAGGCAGUGCAUGGUUGUUUCAUAAGGUCUAUUCUCUUAUAGAGAUGUGAUAGAACAAUAAAUAUUUAUUCUCUUGUGUUAAAAAUAAUAUGACCAACAAUAUAAUAAACGCUGCCUUAUAUUUUUGACAGUAUUUAUAUACAUCAGAGAUGACAGGUAUGAUUGAAUAAAUUAGCUUAUUAGGUGUUUGGACUGAUAAUUUGACAAACCGGAAGUACACUGCAGGUGUUAAAUAUCUCCAGAAGAUGGCACUGAUUCAACCUUGAAAAUGGCAACUGCAGCUAAACCUCGAAGAAGAAUCAGAAGACGCUGCUGUUUCUCUCAGUUGUUGUGGUAAUGUUAAGAUUAGAAAGAGGGAGAAACAGAGGAGGAUGCAAAAAUAAUGAAAAGGGAUGAUAAAUCAGAAUCAACUAACCAUGCCGAUGGAAGGGCCCAGUCCUCCCGUCAUCUCCAUCUGGUGGUGUUUCAUGAUGUAGGCCAGCAUCUCCCUCCAGUCAUAGCCUUCAGGGAUG